rfam:Burkholderia humi Vandamme et al. 2013 isolate LMG 22934 genome assembly, contig: contig000019
UCCCCGCUUCUCCUCCCUGAGCGGGUGCCUGUCGUUAUUCGAUUAGGCUGUUUGACCCGCCGUCAUGCGGCGGGUUUUUUUAU